UACGAAGGGUGCUAGCGUUGUUCGGAAUUACUGGGCGUAAAGGGCUCGUAGGCGGCCAACUAAGUCAGACGUGAAAUCCCUCGGCUUAACCGGGGAACUGCGUCUGAUACUGGAUGGCUUGAGGUUGGGAGAGGGAUGCGGAAUUCCAGGUGUAGCGGUGAAAUGCGUAGAUAUCUGGAGGAACACCGGUGGCGAAGGCGGCAUCCUGGACCAAUUCUGACGCUGAGGAGCGAAAGCCAGGGGAGCAAACGGG
rnacentral:rRNA from 1 species